GUUGUUGUAUCGAUAAACCCGAUUGGUCAGUCUUAAAAUGUCUUUCAAAGGACAAGCUUGUCUGAUCACUGGUGGAGCUCGAGGGAUCGGCAAAGCUAUUGCCCAAGAGCUCCUUCGACAUGGAGCUAAGUGUUUAAUAGGCGAUAUUCUGAUUCACGCAGGUGAGGAGACUUGUCGAGAGCUUGGCCAAGAAUUUGGCAAUGAGAAUGUGGGCUUCCUCCGAUUGGACGUGUCUUCCCACACCAACUUCGAGCUCGCCAUCGAGAAAUGUGUGGAAAGGUUCGGGAAGAUUGACGUUUUGAUUAACAACGCGGGGAUAAUUUCGGAAAUUGGGUGGGAAGCCCAACUCCAAAUUAAUCUCUUAGGAACGAUUCGUGGAUGCAAGUUGGGCAUCAAAUGCAUGAAGAUGGGUGGGAUGAUAUUGAACAUUUCCUCCAAUCAAGGGCUCCUUUCCUGGCCCGCUAUGCCCGUGUAUACGGCCGGAAAAACGGCCAUCAACGCCUUCACCAGAUCCAUGGGACAUCCUGUGGCGUUCCAAGAACAUGGAAUCAAAAUAUGUAGCCUCUGUCCUUAUGCCGUGGACACUCCGUUUCAACACUAUGUCAAACAUUGCGGCAUGUCUCAGGGACAUGAAACACAAGAACCUGAUUCAGGCCUUAGGGAAUCGCAAACGACCCACUAGCCCCUGAACGAGAGCUAAUUACAACCGUAAAUUCCUGAAAGUGGAUUCAAGUUCAGUUUUUUAGACGAUUUUGCAUCUGACAAAACUGAAAGAGCAAUUCCAUCAGAGUGACAGUGAUGAUCUUUAAAAGCCUAAUUGUCACCGUAUCUCUCCACCAACACUCAUUUGCGAGGGUCAUUAAGUGCAACAGCUUCUCAAUGAUGAUGAAUAUUCAGAUAAACGGAAUGAAGCCUUUACUCACCUGAAAGCUCAAUAUUCGUCUUCCCAGGGAGUCCUUUGAUUGGCAUUCAUCCAAUACUUUACGAUGGCAUUACCCUCUCGACCCGAUCUUAAUUUUCUUUCUUGCGAGGGGCCUCCCCUAAAUUAAGCAAAUGGCGUGUGGAGAUGCGAGAACCCACGCCCUAGAUUAAUGAACAAUUAUUCCACUCAUGCAGUGUUUCCACGGACAGACCCGACUUGGGGUUGGUCGGCAUUCGUUGGUUAUGAUGCCAAGUGGUUCGAGGUUUUGAAACAUGAAUUUGUCAACCAUGGCAAAAAAUGCACUUGGAGUAAUCACGGAUGGAUCUGGACAAUGCCAACGAAACCUAAUGGGCACUGAGUCCAAGAUUUAUGACGCCAUCAUUUUGAGCCGAUAAAUCAAGGACUCCAUGCCUUUUGGGCCUGAAGGUUACAUGUCUAUUAGAAUGGCCAUGUUGCCACAACAACAGAGAGUUAAAACAUUGAUCAUUUCUAGUG